rnacentral:rRNA from 1 species
GACGGAGGGUGCAAGCGUUGUUCGGAUUUACUGGGCGUAAAGGGCGUGUAGGCGGUCGGCCAAGUCUGAUGUGAAAGCCCGAGGCUCAGCCUCGGAAGUGCGUCGGAAACUAGUCGGCUGGAGCGCGAUAGAGGAGGGUGGAAUUCCUGGUGUAGCGGUGAAAUGCGCAGAUAUCAGGAGGAACACCGGUGGCGAAGGCGGGUCUCUGGGCCGAUACUGACGCUGAGGAGCGAAAGCGUGGGGAGCGAACAGG